GUAAAAAUAAAAAGAUUUUCGGAACGCCAAAUAAUUAAAAAAUAAAAAAGCUCCCAGCAAGAUAAAAAAAAAAUUUAAAAUAAAAUAAAAUUAAAAAAUAUGAACAUAUUAUUUCAUAGUAGUAAGUCGGGGAAUUAUGACAUCCACAUAACCGUAAUGGAAGAGUUCCUCAAUAAAUAAAAUGCACAGAAAAGGAAUAUUUCGUUCAGCAUACACUAUUUUGAUUUCAAUUGAAGCCGCAAAUGAAGAGCUCAUUACAGCAGUGAAUCAAGAACAAAACGCUACAAAACUUCGAUAUCAAAGUAUUAUUCCCGUCCUUCAAAGUGUAUCCUAGGGGCAGAUGAAAUUGACCACCAACAACUAGCUUGAUCUUCAAAUGUCAAGAAGCAGCCUGCGUGGGUCCUCCACCACAUCUUUGAUACGGCGCAAGAAGAAAACUGCCUCUCUUCCAUCAAUCAGUCUAUGGUCAUACGUUAGAGCAAUAUACAUCAUUGGCCUGGGCACAAUAUUGCCUCCAAUAACCAUUGGACGGGUCACUAUUGAAUGCAUGCCCAAAAUAGCCGACUGAGGAGGGUUAAUGAUAGGUGUGCUCAAAAGACUUCCAUAAACUCCUCCAUUCGAUAUUGUAAAUGAACCUCCAGCCAUCUCAUCAAUUGAUAUAGUUCCAUCAUUCGCUUUCUUUGCAAGGGUGUUGAUCUCCUUCUCUAUC
rnacentral:misc_RNA from 1 species